UGUAUCUUGAUUGUGAUGAUGAUUAUAUGU
rnacentral:piRNA from 1 species